UGCCCCUUGGCCCAGUUGGUUAAGGCGCACGACUGUUACAUGUGACAGGUCACCUGACUAUCACGUGAUAUCGUGCGAUCGAGAGUUCAAGUCUCUCAGGGGCAG